rnacentral:rRNA from 1 species
UGUGUAGGCGGUUCUCUAAGUUCGGUGUGAAAUCUCCCGGCUUAACCGGGAGGGUGCGCCGAAAACUGGAGGGCUUGAGUACGGGAGAGGAGAGCGGAAUUCCUGGUGUAGCGGUGAAAUGCGUAGAGAUCAGGAGGAACACCCGCGGUGUAGACGGCUCUCUGGACCGUGACUGACGCUGAGACACGAAAGCGUGGGUAGCAAACA